UACGUAGGGUGCAAGCGUUGUCCGGAAUUAUUGGGCGUAAAGAGCUCGUAGGCGGCCAGUCACGUCGGGUGUGAAAAUCCGGGGCUUAACCCCGGACUUGCAUCCGAUACGGGCUGGCUAGAGUUCGGUAGGGGAGACUGGAAUUCCUGGUGUAGCGGUGAAAUGCGCAGAUAUCAGGAGGAACACCGGUGGCGAAGGCGGGUCUCUGGGCCGAUACUGACGCUGAGGAGCGAAAGCGUGGGGAGCGAACAGG
rnacentral:rRNA from 1 species